GACGAACCGUGCGAACGUUGUUCGGAUUCACUGGGCUUAAAGGGCGCGUAGGCGGGUGAGCAAGUCCGGGGUGAAAUCUUUCGGCUUAACCGGAAAACUGCCUUGGAUACUGCUUGUCUAGAGGGAGGUAGGGGUCUGCGGAACUUCCGGUGGAGCGGUGAAAUGCGUUGAUAUCGGAAGGAACGCCGGUGGCGAAAGCGGCGGACUGGACCUCUUCUGACGCUGAGGCGCGAAAGCCAGGGGAGCAAACGG
rnacentral:rRNA from 1 species